GCUGGGCGCGGUGGUGCACGCCUGUAAUCUCAGGGGCUUGGGAGGCUGAGGCAGGAGGAUCUCAAGUUCAAAGCCAUUCUCAGCAACUUAUUGAGACCCUGUCUAAA
rnacentral:sRNA from 1 species